GAUGAAGAACGUAGCGAAAUGCGAUACGUAAUGUGAAUUGCAGAAUUCAGUGAAUCAUCGAGUCUUUGACCGCACAUUGCGCCCCCUGGUAUUCCGGGGGGCAUGCCUGUCCGAGCGUCAUUGCUGCCCUCAAGCACGGCUUGUGUGUUGGGCCUCCGUCCUCCUCCCGGGGGACGGGCCCGAAAGGCAGCGGCGGCACCGCGUCCGGUCCUCGAGCGUAUGGGGCUUCGUCACCCGCUCUUGUAGGCCCGGCCGGCGCUUGCCGACACAUCAAUCUUUUUUCCAGGUUGACCUCGGAUCAGGUAGGGAUACCCGCUGAACUUAAGCAUAUCAAUAAGCGGAGGA
rnacentral:misc_RNA from 1 species